GACGAACCGUGCGAACGUUGUUCGGAAUCACUGGGCUUAAAGGGCGCGUAGGCGGGCCGCCAAGUCCGGGGUGAAAUCCUCCAGCUCAACUGGAGAACUGCCUCGGAUACUGGAGGUCUCGAGGGAGAUAGGGGCACGCGGAACUGUGGGUGGAGCGGUGAAAUGCGUUGAUAUCCAUAGGAACUCCGGUGGCGAAGGCGGCGUGCUGGAUCUCUUCUGACGCUGAGGCGCGAAAGCCAGGGGAUCAAACGGG
rnacentral:rRNA from 1 species